AUGUGUGACGGGGUGAAUUAUUAGUUUCAGUAUAGACUUAGGAAACAUUUAAAUAUUCAUUGGUUACCUGCACAUUACUUUACCAUGGUGUGUGGAGGGGGUGGUGUGUUGAAUGGGCGUGGUCUCACACUGGAGCUUAAGGCUAGAGAGCUGGACCGAAGUCCCACCACCUGCAUCUAAUGCGUAAUUGGACGAGCGAGCGUGUUCAUUCACACUGAUCGGCCCAUCGCCGCGAACUGGGGCUACAGAGAGCAAGUACCUUGCCCAAAGACGUGGCGUGUCGGGAUUCAUUGCGCAAGGUAGCCACUCUUUAGUCUAAUUGCACUUUAACAAUACUGUUUACAUUUCCCGCAUAUGUAUGGCAAAUGGUGUGCCAUACGUAUGAUUGAUUUUAUGUUUAACCUACUGUAUAAUACAGGGAAUGUUUAGCUGAAGAUGAUAUGCUUUUAUCUGUGUGCUGUGUGUAAUUAUGUGUGCUUUUGGUCUGUUCCAGACGUGGCGUGCUUCUGAGUGUUUGUGUCGCUUUCUCCCCUGUAUAGUUGACCUCCAAGCUUCUGUGGGAACUUAAUUAUUAUAACUAUUUUGGUUUGAAGUUCAUUUCCUUUUUGUUUCUUUAAGGCCUGGUCGAGAGCGCGUGUUCCCCAUUAACCUAUGUUCAUGGUAGCUCAUGCCAAUAAGUUUACUGUGGUUUGUCAUUUGUAUUACUAUUUGUUUAAAACAUCUUGUUGUGCUGUGAAUCGCCAUCUUUGGAGUGCUGUGCAAUAACUGAACUGAUUGAAGAUGAUUUUGGGCGACUGUUUUUGUGUGACGUUGCCACAUUGAUGUGGGUUGCUAUUGAGUUGCAGGUAGCGCAACCAUGACCAGGUCUUACCUCUUUGUUUAUAUUUACUAUAUUUAUUGUGCCAUAAUAAAUUAAGAUUUAUCUUUUCUA